rnacentral:rRNA from 1 species
AUUGAACGCUGGCGGCAUGCCUUACACAUGCAAGUCGAACGGCAGCACGGGUGCUUGCACCUGGUGGCGAGUGGCGAACGGGUGAGUAAUACAUCGGAACAUGUCCUGUAGUGGGGGAUAGCCCGGCGAAAGCCGGAUUAAUACCGCAUACGAACUACGGAUGAAAGCGGGGGACCUUCGGGCCUCGCGCUUUAGGGUUGGCCGAUGGCUGAUUAGCUAGUUGGUGGGGUAAAGGCCUACCAAGGCGACGAUCAGUAGCUGGUCUGAGAGGACGACCAGCCACACUGGGACUGAGACACGGCCCAGACUCCUACGGGAGGCAGCAGUGGGGAAUUUUGGACAAUGGGCGAAAGCCUGAUCCAGCAAUGCCGCGUGUGUGAAGAAGGCCUUCGGGUUGUAAAGCACUUUUGUCCGGAAAGAAAUCCUUGGCCCUAAUACGGUCGGGGGAUGACGGUACCGGAAGAAUAAGCACCGGCUAACUACGUG